AACGAACGCUGGCGGCAGGCUUAACACAUGCAAGUCGAACGAUAUCUUCGGAUCUAGUGGCAGACGGGUGAGGAACACGUGGGAACAUCCCUUUCAGUUCGGAAUAACGUUGGGAAACUAACGCUAAUACCGGAUACGUCCUUCGGGAGAAAGAUUUAUCGCUGAAAGAUUGGCCCGCGUCUGAUUAGCUAGUUGGUGAGGUAACGGCUCACCAAGGCUACGAUCAGUAGCUGAUCUGAGAGGAUGAUCAGCCACAUUGGGACUGAGACACGGCCCAAACUCCUACGGGAGGCAGCAGUGGGGAAUAUUGGACAAUGGGCGCAAGCCUGAUCCAGCCAUGCCGCGUGAGUGAUGACGGCCUUCGGGUUGUAAAGCUCUUUUGUCCGGGAAGAUAAUGACUGUACCGGAAGAAUAAGCCCCGGCAAACUUCGUGCCAGCCGCCGCUGUAA
rnacentral:rRNA from 1 species